rnacentral:tRNA from 3 species
GCGCCCGUAGCUCAGCUGGAUAGAGCACUUGCCUACGAAGCAAGGGGUCGGGUGUUCGAAUCACCCCGGGCGUACCA